AUGGGCGGCACCACGGUGCUCCCGCCGUCUCUGCCCCCGCGCCGUAGCGCCGCCGCCGCCGACCUUCACUCGUGCUCUUCCCGUGUGCGCGUGAACCCUGCCCUGAUGGCGAACCCCGCCGCUGCCAAGAGGCCGAAGCGUCCCAUGUCCGUGCGCGACGGAUCGCAGCCGCAGCCGCCGGCGAAGCGCGUACGCGGAGUCUGCCCCGGCGGCGAGCUCCGCGUCGCGGUCGCCGCCGAGAUCAACCUUCCGUGUCCCACCAGCGGCAAGGGUCCGAAAAGUCCCAAGAACCAGGUCGCCGAAUCUCCGGCGAGCGCGACGCAACCGAAGCCGCCGAUCAACAUGCGCGAACUGAUCGAGAAUGCUCGCCUCGCCAAGGCUUGGGCUCGCCCUGCCGCCGCCGAAGAAGAGGCCAGCUGCCGGCGUGACAUCGAGCGCAGCAGAGCAGAGGCCCGGCGGAAGGUGGAGCGGAUGGUGGACACCGUGCAGUUCAACGACCCUUACAUCGACCCCUCCGACGUGACCAAGUCCCCGCAUGAGCUGCUGGAAGCAAGACAAGAAGCAUGGCGUGCUCAAGCUCAGCUCAUUGCGAUGGCUCGUCGACGGGACAUGGAGACGUACAAGUGA
rnacentral:rRNA from 1 species